rnacentral:tRNA from 1 species
UAGCUCAGUUGGUAGAGCACAUGACUUUUAAUCAUGUUGUCCGGGGUUCGAUUC